CCCCCCGAAAAAAAAGUCUUCAGUUAGUUGAUACAGUUUCUUCUUUGAUGAAGUUACUAAUUUCAGGAGCAGAAUUUUGAGGCCUCCCAUCCUAUAAUAUGACACUUAGGAAUGGUCAAGUAACAAGCCAAGGUCAAACAGCCUCAAGUAUCUGUAUUUGUGUGUACAGAUAAUGUGAAAUGUGUAAGGGUCUAAAUGUGACUGUCUGCCUGUCUGAAUAAGAGAACAGGUUUUUUUCCUUCAUUUAGAUUUUUAUGUUUAUUCUUGGGUUUGGGUUUUUUUAUGGUAAGCUUUGUAAUUAGGCUAUUAGCUUUGUUUAUGAUUAGCCUGCUUCAGUGUCUGCAGCUUUAUCUUUUUCUACAUGUUUCCAUCCAAUUUAAAAUACAUUUUAAUUUGCUUUUAAUUUAUACAGAGGAUUGGAAUUGUAUGGUAAAUAUACUAUGACAAAAAUUAAGUUAGUUUCUUUACUUUUUAUUUGGUAAGAGGAGAUAAAAGGGAUAGAUUAAAAAUAUUCAAACUCAGCAAAAAAAAAAGCGCAAUAGUAAUUAAAACUGAUGACACCCAGAAACCAACAAAAAUACUGGGACUUAAUAAAAUUUAAUGGGGAAAGAAAAUGUAAUGGACUAUAUAAGUGAGUGCUGGCAAAAGUAACUUCCAUGACUGACCCUGUUUUUGAGAUGUUUUUCUAUGUGCUCUUUUAUAUUUAGGUCACUGAAAAUUUUCAGUAGAUAAAUGCUUAGAAUAGUGAACAGCUUUUUGGAAAAGCAGUCAAAGAUUUAAGGAAUAUCCAUUUUUAAACAUCUUUUAUUUUUACUAGUCUAAGCUAUAGAAAUAAUUUUAAAAUUAACAGGCUCCUACUGCUUGAUAUAGUUUCAUUCCUUCUUUUGUUCCAGUGAAUAAUCUGGGUCUUUGGUUUUGGAAAAAAGUGUGUUUAGUGACAUAUUGUAACCAAGAGUUUUAAGAGCACGCUAUCUGUAAUGAUUAUGAGAUUUCAGUGUGGCAUUGAGCACCUACAGAGACUUAAAGGAAUGAGUCUUAAGUACUGGCUAGCUAUGACCUUCUCCUAGAGAUCUUAUAAGUGGGUGGAAAAGAUGAUUUUGCUAUGCAUUUUGAUUGUAAUGUUUCAGCGUAUGUUCUGUUAAUUUGAUCCUUUUAUUACAUAAUGCUGUGUGUUAUUUCAUAUCCUUGGAACUUCAGUAAUAUAAUGUCUGUCUCCCAUAUGCUUGAAGUCCCAGAGGAACAUAAUUUUCUCCCCAGAAAAUCAUCAACUAGCAGCUUACCUCUCUCACAAUCAGGAGGAAAUGCUGGACUUAUUUAAAAUAAGCACUUUGGAUAACAAUAUGCAGACUCUCUUGUGAAACAGUCAUAAGGAAACCAGCUGACAUAAGAAAAUGAAGACAUCCAAGCCAAUGUUUAAGCAAACUCUUAGUAAAGUAGCUGGAACAGUUGAUCACAGCCUCUUAGAGCAGACGGAAACAGCAGCAAAGUGCAGAAUGGAAAGACAGAGACUCCCUCCUUCCCUCUGCAUUACCACUGUGAUGAGAAGGAUAGAAGGUAAUGUAAUAUAUGUGUGUCCAUGCUUGCAUUAUGUCAAAAGUCAAAAUAACGUAGUUAAACUGCAGCAGGUUUUGCUUUCAGCCAAAGCAUCAGGGAAAUACAUGGUAUAUUAAAAACAAAGUUCACCACUGGCAAAAAGAUGUAAAACUUUAUUGGCCAAAAGGGAAGUGCCUAUUUGUGGGCUGCAUUAAGAACUCUGGAGCUUUUCUGGUUUGGUUCAGUAAGAAGCAUGCCCCAAACUGGUUUUGAUUUGGGUGUUUUCUUUUGUUAGGUUGUUUGGGUAGAAGUUUCUGCCUAAGUAUACUUACUGAUUUCCAUGAUGUUAUCAAUGAUGGUUUCAAAGAAAAUAGGCCAAAAAAAGUUUAAAAUAACAGGUUGGAAUUAAAAACCCCAAAACUCCACAAUGGAGGUAGCAGCACAAACAGGUAGUGUUAGAGGCUGUGGUUUAAUUUUCACACUCGAGGACAGAAAAAAGUAGUCAGGUGUUAAUGCUGAUAAAUGAAUGUCAAAUUUGCAUCAUUUGGGGGUUUGUUUAGCAAACUAAGCUAAUAGUUUCAUUUUUUUUUAUAAAUCAAAUAUUUUUGAAAGGAAGUAUUAUCAUCAUGGAGCUUUACAAAGGCAAACAGUGCCAUAAGAAAGUUCUUGCUGUAGUGUCAGAACUAUGUAUGAACUGCCUUUAUAAGAACUCGUCUCAGCCCCUGACAAUAUUGUUAGUGGUAUCAGUUAUUUCUCUACUUCAGAGUCAGUCUUUGAUAAUGAUUUUUUUUUAAUAUUAAUCCAUUUGAUUUUUUUUUAACAAGGGUGAAACCCCGGGGUUCACAUUCAGUGCAAUGGAUAUUGCAAUUUUUCUUAACUAUGCAAUGUGAGUAGCUAUAUUCUGCAGCUUUAUAUUAUAGUUUUGUUUCAGAUUUUUAAGGCUUACCAGUAACUCAUAUUUGUACACUAGUUUAUUGCUGAAAAAGAAUUGAUGACAGAAAGAUAUGAAGAAAUGGGCGUUCAUCCAGUCCCAAUAUAUAAAUAACCUUCUGAAGAGAUGGGAAGAUUUACAUGCAUUUUUGGCCCUCAGAAACAAAACCCAUGAUAGAAAACAGACAUUAAAGAGAAACAAGCACUUGCCAGAGUACAUUUACCUUUUUUAAACUUUUUAUUGCAUUUACUUCACAUACAAGACUGAUUACCGGUCAUGUGAGGAAAUUCAGCCCUUUGCAAAUAUCCAGUGAAAAAUACAAAGCCCAUCUGUGAACAGAGUGUGGAGGCAACAUGUAUCCUAGUGAAAGAGUGGCUGAAAGACUGGGUGUGUGAAAAAAGAGAAAAGGUAAUAAUAUAAUUAAUUUUUAAAGAACAGAAGAUUUACUGGCAUGUGAUAACAAAUUCAGUGGAAAUCAACUAGAACCUAUUAUACUCCAAGAACUGAACAUUAAAUCCAUAACUGGGGAAUAUUUUAUUGAAAAAGUUGUAUGGAGGAGACACUCCAGUCAUGUAGGGUUACUUGUGAGUCAAGCAGGAGUCACCACUAGCAGUACUUAUCAGUGGAUUUUGUAUUUAAUACAUAUUAGAACGAGAAAACCAGCACUGUAACAUACGAUUAGUUGUAUUAGUAAUAAGAUGGAUUUAUUCUACAGUGCAGCAUAAUCAGAUGCUUUGGCCAUGUUUUGGAAGAUUCCUUUGAUUAACACGUGAUAUCAGUUACCUCCUGGGGUAACCCUCCCUGGUGUCUUCACCGUUAAAAGGCCUUCCAGAUUUCCCUUCUUCUAAACUAGUGGUUUUCAUCCUUUGAAGCAGUCUCUGUAGUGGAGAUCAAGGCAACUUUCAAGUGAGUCACAGGUAGGAUCUGGAGGCUUCCACACCAUCCCUGGAUUCUCUUUUUCUUGCUUCCCCUGUGUAUCGCAGGCUGAUAACCCAACCCCAUACAGCCUCCAUGCAUUCCCCAGCUCACGGUGGCUGCUAUUCCUUCUGCCCUGGUGGGCAGUGGGAGAAAGCAAGUCGUGAGGAUGACAGUAGCACGGCCUCUGCUGAGUGAGUUCCUUGAAUGUGGUCCUCUGAAUCUGCCACAGCCUUUAUUGUUGGGAGAUUUUGUUCACCUCCUUGUACCAUUUUAGUUCCUACCUGCUUUUUUUUUGUCCCUCCCGUCACACCCAUGGUAUAUUUCAUUCACAGGACAACUGAAUCCUCAGCCCAUAUCAUUCCAGUAUCGUGUCCCUCAGUAAUCAUCCCUCACUGGUACUCUCCUAUGUUCCCAGCAUCAUUCAUGUUCCCAGCAGGUCUACUGGCCAUCAACAGCAGCCCGCUGCAGGCCUGGUAACGUAGGCCUUCCCUCACAUCUUCUUGAGACUCGCUGUUGUCCAGGAGCCUGAGAGGUGAGGGAGGUGGUGUGAGGGGCCCACAAAGCAGGGGAAGGUGAAGCAGCAGUCGUUCUAGGGGAAGGACAUCCGGACCAGCAUUAGAACCUAAUGGUUUUGUAUGUUUAUGCAUAUAGUUCAAAAGGGCAGUGAGGCUCCUGACCAAAUUAAAUCAGCAGAUUUUAUUUCUUGGUAAAAUUGUUCCUCACACCUUGUAGAAACAUUACAGAAGAAUAACUGAAGAAAUUGCACUGGAAACUCGAAGAACUGAAUGAAGGAUUACACAUUAAGUUUGCAUGCUAUGCUACAGAUGUCUGUUGUAAGGAUAUGAAUGCUGUUAAACUUUCAAUUUAACUCCAGAGGGUGACCCAAAAAAUACUGAAUUAAUAUUUUUAUUUCAUGCCUUUUUGAAGGAUUAACUAUUGCUUUUUAAAAUCUGCAAAGACCUGUAGGAGUAAAAAUGCAAAGCACAACAUCCGACCCAUUAACAUGCUAAUUCAUUUAGAGGGAAUUUAAAAAGUAGUUUCACCUAUUAUAGUAUUUGCAGCUUCAUGCUACUCUGUUACAGAACCUGUUAAGCAAGCCAUGUCCCUGGCGUAGUUAACAACCCUGAAGGGAGCGCCAACCUUAGGGAUCAUGGGAUAUCCCAUCACGAACACCAUGGGAGUAGCAUAGAUCAAGGGUGGGAUGACAGGCACUACAAUCCUCAUUCUGCUCAUGAAGUGCAGUACUUGAUAACUGAUCAUAAAUUAGCAGGGAAGAUUUAAACAUUAAAAGGAAGCUGGAGGGAGGCGUGGGAGUGCCGUGUUCUGUGUGCGCGCUCCGUGGGAGCACGUCUGUUGUACUGGGCAGCAGCUUGGGAGCACUGCGCGCUGUGCCACACUAUGGAGCUGUUUGGCUUUAUGGCUAAAAGCAGUCAUGCUGGUUUGGUGAAGCAACUUAAAGCUGGAGAAUGUGCCUUGGGUUAUGUUUGAGUGCUGUAGCUUGUGCUGCGUUCCCAUGGGUUGGUUAAUGUGCCUGCCUAUAUAGCCUGUAACUGUGCCCUGUCUUUAUGGUAACCUGAGAGGUGGCAUGGUUCCUGCUUUGCUGUACUUUAACAAAAACUAUCAGAAAAGAAAGGAUUGUUUGCUCUGAGUGCUCUUCAGUUCUGCCCAGCAACUCAAAAUUAGUAGCUUUCAUUAUUUGGGAGAGUGGAUGUUCUGAUUAGAAUGCUGAGGAAAACUUUACAUUUUAUUUUGAGAAUUAAAUGUCACAAAGAGCAAUACAUAUGUAAUUGAUCUCUUAAACUUCAACUAUUCUGUGUCUUCAAGUAAUUUCUUUGUGUUUUCAGUCUUUAUGCUAGUGUACUCUUUCAUCAUCAUUGGUCAUGUCCCAGAGAACUGAGUCCAGAAUAUUUUGAGAGAAAUGCUAGAAAAUAAUGAGCAACUGAAAAAAAACCAGAUUACCAAACCUGAGGAAUUCAAAUGCAUGCCUGUGGAACUAAUGGGUGCCUUUUCAAUCAACUAAGGCUAAGAUGUAAAGUAAAAAAGGAGCUUCCGUGCUUUCCUGUCAUGAGUCGUGAGAGAAAUGAACUCAGCAGAAAAAUGUCAUGUUUCAGUAGAGUGUCCAAUAUGUCUCAAAAGAGACAGAAGGAGGAAAAUUUUGAAUGGGACAGAAACUGAUACUAUGUUGCAAGUUUCUGGAUAAUGUGUAUUGCCUUUUCAUGAAAACCUGACAAAUUCAUUGCACUUAGUACCUGGAAAUAAAAGAAUAUGAGUAGCAGUAACAGCCAAGGUAAAAGAAACCACACUACUUCCAGAUAAAUUUAAAGAGCAACUCCCACUCUUCAAAGGCUUUCUGGUAUAAAAGCUUCCAGCAGAAGAGCAUAUGUGGAAUAAAAAAAGCUCAGUAAAAACUGACUAACUAAAAAAGAAGGCGACAGCCAGGAAUACUAAAUCUAAGAAAGAAAUGCUGUGAUCAGGAUUCAGGUUUCCGAAGUGCUCAGAAAAGGAGAGAUGCUCUUGGAAGCCAUGCUGGACUGAAGAUGACCUAGACUGAGAUUCCCAAAUUCUAAUACAUUUGUGCCAGAGCAAAGCGCUGCCUAAAUAAUUCCUGAGUAGUCAAGCACAUUGUCCUGGCCAAUACUGAAAGCUGUUGCUACUGCAACUUCUGCUACCUCUACCAACGGUGGCUACAUCGUAGUGAGCAAGAUGCAUACAAGAACCACUGAUCUGGAUGUUCUUACUUCAACUAAAGAUUGAGGUAAUGUGUUCUUACUUUUCUUUAAGAAAAACAGGAGGGCACUAAGGAGCAUGAAGAAUCUACACAGAUAAAUGGGAGCAAUAUAAAUAGGUAGUGGAAAGAGAAGAUAAGCAUUGUUAGUUGGGUAAAAAUAGAACAGGACACCAUCACCUAAACAAAAAAACAUAUUUAAUUUGUUGCAUUUGGUACUUUAUUUACCUUUCUCCUAGUAAAUACAGCAAGAAUAAAAUGCUAAGCAGAAACACCACUAUUGAAACAAACAACAGAGGACAGCUGUGUGAUAUCUUGGAGAGAAACAUUCACGACCCAGAAAUACCAAUAUGUUAACGGAUCUAAAGGGAUAACAAAAGAUUUUUAAUGCAUUUCUGAUCUUCUUUGCUUAAUAUCUAAUGAAAAUAGAAAAGUGCAUGAAGCAGCUAGCAGUGACCAUUUUUAAACACUGCUUGUCUAAUCUUCCAAGCUGUUGAAUUAUACAACUCCUAUUGAAAUAAACAGGAACUGCUGCUGCUGAGCUCUGUUACAAAUUAGGCCACCUGAGAAAUUGUUCUAUAGCUGAUCUGAAACAAGUAAUUAUUAGGGAGUUGUAAGUUCAGAUAAUGCUUAUGUUUAAGACCAAGUAGGUGGCUGAGUAUUGUGUACAUUUACCUGUUCAGCGGUACAAGUCUUUUUUUUUUUUUUUGUUCAAGUAUACAUCUGAUUUUUGUAAUUACUUUCUCAAAGACUUCUGAAAAGUUUAUCCUCAAAAGCCUAAGAAUUGUCUGCUGACAUAGGUAACCUGAAACAAUGCAUUUGAGCAAGUGGAAUUUUUAGUAAACAGGUUACUGGAAAGAUAAACAACCUAAGUCAGCUAGAAAAGAAUAUUCACAAAUACAAUAUUAUUAUAUAAACUUCCCUUCUAAACUGCUUUGUAAUUGUCAGAAGCACACAGUAAGCACAUUUCCUGUGCUGUGGGCUAUAGAACAAUAAUUCAAGUUUUAGGGCAUCUAGUACCACAUCAAAACCAUCAUCGUCUAGUGAUUGAAAGCACUGAUCCGGUAUAAACUCAAGCUGCCUGUACUGAUUUGCUCAGAGGGGUUGUUCAUUAAUUUGUUAGACAGGUGACUUCAAACUGUCUGUGGUUCUGCUCAUCUGUGUCUGACUGGACCCUUCAUAGUUAGCCCAGACUUUUCUUUUUGGUAGUUCCUUCUUUUUGUCUUCCCCACUUUCAGUGCUCAGAUGUAUUGUUCGUUGAUGUCCUCACAUGUGCCUCUUUCAGCCCUCUUCCAGUUGGAUGUUCACAGGACGUUCGCUCAACUCUUUUUGUUGAUCUUUGCUUCAGAUCUUCAGUUAUCCAAAAAUUCCAAAACUUGUCCGCCUCCUUCUCUUUUUCCCUUGGACCUCAGCAUAAGCUAUGUGGGUGCACUGGCCACAUGUUAAUGACAUGUUCCACCUCAGUGGCUCUAACUGGAGGCUGUACCAUCUGCCUCUCUCGGGUCUUCCCUGAGACUUUCCUCUUCUUGGAUUACCACAAGAAUCACACAACUCAAUUUUGAGAAAGGAAAUGCAAAUGCACAUCCUGACCUAGUCAUCAUCGAUUCCAGUCAAAACUGGUGGUAAAAUGAAGCUAUGCAGGAAAGCUUGCACUUUCUAUUUCCCCCCAGUAAUUACUAAUCAUAUAUCAAAACAGAGAUAAUGUAUCAGAGGUGAUUGAAUUUUAGCUCAAGAGAGCAAGGUACCAUCUCUUUAAACACUUCCCAGAAUAGUGGGCUUCUCUGUUGGCUACAUUAGUCAUCACUUUUCCCCACAGAUUCAAUGUGUCCACACAUGCCUUGUAUAGUAACAACUCCUUCACCUUCCUGUCAUCCCAGGAAUGAGUAGACAUGACUUUCUGCUAUAAGGAAGCAGCCUUGAUACUCACUCUGGAUCCAUCAUGGAUUUCUGUCUGGAAGGCUAGACAAAUACACUGGUAACGGGGACCUUCAAUGAGCAAGAAGAGUCUUGCUGGCUAAAAAUCAAUCACCAUUCACGUUUUCUUGCCCAAAGAGUCUCGGGUGAACUGCUAGGAACAAAACUACAUGUCCUAGUCAAAAAGAUAUUCCCCUUUGGAAAGAGAGAACUCCUUUUCAGAGGAGCUGGGAUAGAGUGACAGGAAGAAAGGGGAUAUGUGGUUAACACACAGAAAAGCUACCCCAGUGAGGAAAGCCUAGUAUGCUUUGCUGUGUUCAUCACCCUGAGCUCAAGGGAGGCAGGCACAUUCUGAACGGCAUGUCAUGUCCAAAACCUUGCUGGCUAUUUGCAUUCUCCACACUAGUUAACAAUGGUAUAAUGCAGUUGGUGAUACCCGGCUUCAAAACGAUUGCAGCAAUCUGCCUCUCAGCUCUGUAGAACUCUGCUGAUGGCCAUUUCUAUGCCAUGGUAUGUUCAGCACAGAUCUCCAAAAACAUUGCCUUCUCUGUUCUACAUUUGUUUCCGUUGUCUUUGCCCCUGAGCAUUUGCAGCUCUUCCCACUGCCACCAACUCUUUUAAAAAAAACGGAUGUUAAUAGCAUGGAUGUUCAUUUUAUUCUUACUGAGAAUUCCUCCCAGCAGGGCCAGCUCAU